CAUCCAAACCAAACCAAAAUAAUUAAUUACUGUAUUAUUAUUAUUAUUAUUAUAUAUCAUUUUUUGUUAAGAUGUUUAUAAAUCUAUUAUCAAUAAACGUUGACUAAUCACACAUUGUAUUCAUAAUUUUAUUUUGAUACCUAAUUGAAGCUUGAAAAUCAAUCUACUGGAUAAAAGUAAACUUUCAUUCUCUCAUCAUCUUCAGCUUCUCCACAAGCAGAAUAUUGGGAAAAAUUUUGUAAAUAUGCACUCCUUUAUGAAUAUCCACUCAAGGUUUGUGGUUGGCGUAUCAACAUUUGUGGUGGCUUUCAUACUGGUAGCCUUGGUUCAGUACUGGCUGGGACACAUUUCCGAGGUUGAUGCCGAUGGAGAAGGAGGAUGUACCAUGAAUGACACAUUAUCAUCAUUAUCUACCACUGAAGAUGACCGGGAGCCUCAAGAAGUGAUAGAAAUUUCGGAAAUUUUGCCCAAUUGCGGCAUACCGACAGAAUGUCCUCCGGACACUUUUCCGGUGCACAUCUACACCGGCCAGGACAAGGACGACAGACCCAAACUGUGCGUUCUGGGAAAAUAUGUGAUAAGCGGGAACAUGGCGACGAGCGGUGGUGGCGGGGGAGGGCGGGGCCUGAACGUGGCCUUGGUGGAGACGCGACACAUGAGCAUUGUCUCGGUGCAGAACUUCGACCUCUACAGUCAGAACAGCUCGGCGCUCGAGUCCUGGCUGGACGAGCGAGUGAGAGAGCGUGAUAUCAUCAUCGCUUUCACUUUCGACGAGGCCUCCAAGGAGCUCAGCAAGAAGGCCAAGGCCUCGCUCUACAAGCUCGGGAGCGGCAAAAUCCAAGACUUGCAGUUCAGAUCUCAGUGGUACAUGAUCUCACAAAAAGGCAUCAAAGGCUUCACAGCUCUGGAGCGGCUCACCUUCGCCAAGAAUGAUCACUGGGGUGAAGCCAUCGACGAGAGGAUGUGUGUUCCCAAGCAAAUACCUUCAGUGGCCAUCACUCCUGAUCCAUAUCCGAGGAAGAACACCGUUCGGGAGAAAGUAUGCCGUGAAGUGAUUCAACUUCAGUGUACAGACUUUUGUGCAGCUGACAGCCAGCACGAAGUGUUUUCGCCGGCAUUGUUGACGAAUCGCAGCCUGAUUGGUAACCCUGUCUUCUCGAGUCCCAUUGUGGUGGUGGGCUCGCCACAGCUCAGUUCAUUAGUGCUGACGUUGCAAAGUCUCGUUCAUCAGCCUGGCAUACAUGCGCCCAGUGUGCUCGUUGUCUAUGGCCAAGGUCAAACUCAAGAUCAAACUAGUUUCAAAGGUCAAACCAGGUUUCAAGGACAUAUACAAGCUCAAGGCCGCAGCGACUACUCAACAGCAGCUAACUUGUUGAACGGUCAAGGUCAUCCUAAAGGUCAAGCUCAACCCCAAGGUGAUAGGAAGUCUCAAGGUCACAGCGACUAUUCUACAGUCAUCAAUCUGUUCUCCUUUCAGGCAGUGCCUGUCAAUGUUACCUCGGAUGACACUAGGGAUUACAUACGGAAGGGUGUUGAAACUGCGAAAGAGCGUUUUCCAAAUAAGAAAUACGUGAUUGUGAUCGAAGAGGGUGUUAUAGUGUCUCCCGACUUUCUGCACUAUAUGGCACAAAUGGUGUCAGUUUUGGAAAAAGAUACAACAGUUCUGGCUAUUUCCGCAUGGAAUCCGAAUGGUUAUGUAAAUGUGUCGAGUAAUCCGUACUUGGCAUACAGGAGUGAGGACCGCCCUCAAUAUGCUUACAUGGUGCCUUUCAAUGUCUUCUACGCCAAUAAACUCACUCAAAACUGUUCAAAACAAUCUCAUCGCGAAACGCCCAGCAACUCCUCAGUAGCUGUUGAUAUAAUUUAUCCCGAAGUAUCACGGGUGCUAAAAAGACCGUUGGAUAUACUUCUUAGUGGCAAACCAUACGCCUACCAUUUGGACAUUCCACGCUCCACUAACAUAGACCCAGCAGUGUGGAUAGAGAAGCCUGAAGGCAUGAUUAUGGACCGCUAUGUAGAGCAUUUGGAGUCGUUACUUAAUCAAAGCAGAGAGUUUGUGAUUGCCAAUGAAGAUAUUGCAAGUUGUCCAUCCAACUUUCCCAUUUCAAAUAUCCUAUUCAACGAUAUGAGAAACCACUCGAUCAUUACCAUGUAUUACAAAGAGUCGAACAGUGAUAAUCACACCGUUCUAAGAGCUCUAGCUGGCUGUUUCGGGUUGAGAUUUCCCAGCGACAAUAAUCCAACACCUCCGGGCCUUUUUAGAGGCAUUCUUAGGUUCACAUUCAACAAUAGACAUGUGAUGCUGAUCGAAUCCAAAUCUCAAUUUUAUAAGCCGAAACAAAAUAUCGUUGAAAAUAAAUCCAUGUGAAGAUGAGAUUUCUCCUAUUGUCUCAUGCAAGUACAGUACUACACAAUUAUAAAUAACUUGAUAUUUUUUAAGUUUCUGAUGAGAAUUGAAAAUAGUGUGAUAUCUCGUUUUUUAUUUUUCAAUGAAUCCUACAAAUUCUUGAUUUCUGAAAUAUUUCAAUGUCCACCUUCCUUCUCUCCCAAUCAUUCCAAUGAUAAUUGUACAAUAAUGAAAAAUAACUAAAUAAAUCAUCGUUUUUUAUAAAUAUUGUGUAUUUUUGUUAGCUUCAAUAGACUAACAAAUUUCGAC
rnacentral:misc_RNA from 1 species